rnacentral:rRNA from 1 species
UCCAGAUACUGGGAGAUGGUGACGAGACAUAUUGGGACUCACCAGCACCGCUGGUCGAGUUACCAGAUAGACUACAACCUAAAACAGUGCUAAAACAAUCAACAGGAGGGCAAGUCUGGUGCCAGCAGCCGCGGUAAUACCAGCUCCUGUGGCCUAUAUGGUCGUUGUUGCGGUUAAAAAGCUCGUAGUUGAAAUACGGUGCGCUCGAGAGCCGUAUCGGUGGUAAGCCUGCCCAGGGUGAACGCCACCUCGUGUGUGCAGCGUGCCAGUGUGGUCAACACACUGGGCCUGUGUGCCGAGUGCUGGUGCCUGUGACGCAGUGUUGUAGCCUGGCGUGUUCAGUGCCCAGGCUGGUGAUGUGCGUGUCAGUUGUGCCUAGAUGUGUGCACGCAAGUGUGUGUGUCCUGGUGUGACUGGCGUGUGUGUCACUGGCCUGCGAGUGUCGGCGCCAGGCUAUUUUAUCGCUGAGACGGCAUUAGAGUGUGCUUUCUCGUCCGGCUUCAGUGAAAAAUUACCCUUCACUGGGUACACUGAACGCCGGGCGAAUUGUGCCUUGAGUAAAAUAGAGUGCUCAAAGCAGGCUAGGCAUGUAACAGUGUCAUUGCCCGUAUACUCCAGCAUGGAACGAAUGUCCAAUUGCUUGAACCACCCUGCGGCCUGGUUAGUUGGUUGAGCGUGAGAGCGCUCAGUGUGCAGGGAGAGUGCUCGCGUAUGUCGCGGGAGAUGCUGCCUUGUGCACGCCAGGUCGUAUCCGUGGGAGUGUGUACCCAGUAAAUGUGUGUGUGCCUUGUGCACGUGUGCAAUGCGAGCACAGCUCCGUGGAGAAACCUGCAUGUGAUAUACUAUUGUAAUAAUAGAUGAUAUUGUGUGCAGGCCGCGGUGUGUAAUGUAAUAUAUUUAUAUUAUCUGUGUCAAAAUGUCCAGUGUGUGUGCAUCUUUGCGUGUCACUACUGGCACGCGUGCGUCUCCAUGUGUGCCAGUGCGUGGCUUCACUUGGGGGCACUGGAACYAGCYCUUCAGUGUCUUUCAUCCUCACCCCAGGGGUCUGCUGACUCCUGGUUACGUGCAGGUGAGCCUGUUGGGCCCAGUGACCUACCAGUGGCCAUUUACCCGUACACCACUUCCAGUGUGUGUACGUGGCGUGCUGUGUGUGCGUGAGGGGCGCAGCCUGUGUCUGUGUGUUAUAUCAUCAGACACAGUGUCUUCAGCGCCUGUCAAUUUGUGGUGCAUGUGUAAUGAGAUGUGUGCGUGUAAACUGAUGACUGUUUUCUCGCCCUGGGAUCGAUGCCGCUCCCACGUAUGGGUAUCGGUUAACAGAAACAUUUGGGGGCAUUGGUAUUUGGCCGCGAGAGGUGAAAUUCUAAGACCGGCCAAAGACUGACGAUUGCGAAGGCAUUUGCCAAAGAUGCGUUCAUUAAUCAAGGACUAAGGUUGGUGGAUCGAAGACGAUUAGAUACCGUCGUAGUACCAACUGUAAACUAUGCCAACCAGGGCUCAGGCCGGAUCGGCAAAUAUUGUGUACCAAUGUGUGCACAUAUUGCAGUGAUCCAGGUUGGGCCCCCCGGGAAACCUAAAGUGUUUGGGUUCCGGGGGGAGUAUGGUUGCAAGGCUGAAACUUAAAGGAAUUGACGGAAGGGCACCACCAGGAGUGGAGCCUGCGGCCUAAUUUGACUCAACACGGGGAAUCUCACCAGGUCCGGACAUCGGAAGGAUUGACAGACUGAUAGAUCUUUCAUGAUUCGGUGAAUGGUGGUGCAUGGCCGUUCUUG